rnacentral:rRNA from 1 species
CCAUUCAGUUGAGGACUCUAAUGAGACUGCCAACGAUAAGUUGGAGGAAGGUGGGGGAUGACGUCAAAUCAUCAUGCCCUUUAUGACCUGGGCUACAAACGUACUACAAUGGCCAAUACAAAGAGAUGCGAAGCGGUGACGUGGAGCGAACCUCAGAAAGUUGGUCUCAGUUCAGAUUGAAGUCUGCAACUCGACUUCAUGAAGGCGGAAUCGCUAGUAAUCGCGGGUCAGCAGACCACGGUGAAUACGUUCCCGGGUUUU